rnacentral:rRNA from 1 species
GAUGAACGCUGGCGGUAUGCCUAACACAUGCAAGUCGUACGAGAGUUUUUUAACUCUAGUGGCGGACGGGUGAGUAACACGUGAGAAUUUGCCUUUAGGAGGGGGAUAACAAUUGGAAACGAAUGCUAAUACCCCAUAUGCUUUUGAGUGAAAUGGAUUUUAUCCGCCUAGAGAGAAGCUCGCGGCUGAUUAGCUUGUUGGUAAGGUAAGAGCUUACCAAGGCGACGAUCAGUAUCUGGUUUGAGAGGACGAUCAGACACACUGGAACUGAGACACGGUCCAGACUCCUACGGGAGGCAGCAGUGGGGAAUUUUCCGCAAUGGGCGAAAGCCUGACGGAGCAAUACCGCGUGAGGGAAGAAUGCCUAUGGGUUGUAAACCUCUUUUUCAGGGAGGAAUAAAAUGACGUGUACCUGAAGAAUAAGCAUCGGCUAACUCCGUG